GUGAAGGAGAAACAGGAAGGGUCCCCUUUUCCCCUUUCUCCUCCAGCAGCAGGAUGUGAGCCACCGGCAAGGAGGGACGCCAAUAAGGCAUCCGAUAAGAUAAGUCUUAUAAAAUAUAUAGAUUUAUGAUAAUUAAGACUGAGCCAACAGAUGAGGAAUCCUAGUCAUUGGCCAAGCAGCUUUGAACCUAAUACAAAUUUCUGUGUAUUCAUUUGGGCCUAACUUGGGCGGGCGGCUGGCGUAAAGUCCACAUGUGGCAGUGGGGCUCGGCGGCUUUUGGCAGAAAGAUUUAUCAUGACAAAUGACUGUGAUGUGGACGUGUAAUGGAAACAAACCCUCUUCUCCCCAUAUCACCUAUGUUUAUUGUGGUGUUUUACUACAUCACAGAAGCCUUAACUAAGACAGUGCGCAUGGCCUCUUUUCGGGAAAUGUGUUAUAGAGUAAAGAAAUUAAGUACUGAGACUAUAGCUCCAUGGCAGAACACUUGACCCUCAUCCAUGAGGUCCUGGGUUCAAUCCUCAGUAUUGUAAAGCAAAACAAAGAUCAUCCAAAAGUAGACAGCAUUUAUCAACUUAAAGAAUUUCUCUUUAAUUAUAUUCCUAUUUUAUUAAUUAUUUCUUCAAGCAGAGUUUGCAAAAUUAUCUCUUAUGAGCCAAACUGAAUUUGACGCUCUCUCUCUCUCUCUCUCUCUCUCUCUCUGUGUGUGUGUGUGUGUGUGUGUUGGCACACGCACUGUGAACUAAUGUAAGCAUUUAUUUAAUGUAAAAUGUCCAUUAGUACUUUGUGCUAUGAGAAAAGAUGAAAUUCAAAUUUCAGUAUCCACAAAUAGAAUUUUAUUGGGACACAGUGGUGUUCACUCAUUUGUAUGGCUGCCUUGGUAACAACAGGACAAUACUGAAUUGCUAUAACAGGAUAUAAGUGGACAAGAAUGUGAGUUUGUUGUGUUACAGAAAAAUUUAAUUGGCCUUUGCAAAGUAGUUACUUUAUAUAGUAAUAAAAUAAUUACAAAGUCAUUUUAUUUAGUAGUUCUUCUGAUCCUUUUAUGUAAAAACUGGCAUUUUGGGAAAGUUGGUUUCUUGGCUAUGCGGAGUCAGGUAAGAACAACAUCUGGACCCCCGUGUCUCCUCAUACAGAUGUGCAGGCUGACCACAGUGUCAGCCUUCCUCCCAUUAGUCCUUUUGUGUAGCAGUGAGAGGGAGGGGCCUUCAGAGUGAGGGAACAAGAGAGGGCAAGAUGGAGGGGUGGAGAGAGGGAGGAGCUUUGGGACUGUUGGGGGGAUGAAGGGGUGGGGGUGAGUUAGGUCAGAUGAGGCUCUGUGCAGAAGGUGGGUGUGGAGUGAGCAGAGGGAGGGGGUGGAUUGCUUGCUGUGGAGGGAGCUGAGACACAGCCUGCUCCAGGCUCUCACCCUUAGCAGCCUGAGGAGUUCUAAUCUCUGGGGAUUGAGGUCUUGGUCCUCAACUUGACUACAUCUGGAAUUAACUAAAACCCAAGCAUCGGGGUACACUGUGGGUUUUUUCUUCAAUUAAAAAUCAAGGUGGUAAGACCCACUUUUAAUCUGAUCUUUUAAGGUGGUCAUAUCCACCUUAAAUCUGGGCCACACCUUUUGCUGUCAGCCUCUGUAAAUAGCCUGCCCCCCUGCCAGCUUGCUCCCACUCUCCCUGCCAAGUCCAUUCCUUUGCUGGCCCGAGAGCCUACUUGUUCAGGAUUCUGGUGUGUACUGCAGACCGGCUGAGACACUCAGCCUUGUGGAAUGAACAACUGCAGGAUUCUUGGACUUUCAUUGGUAGACAACCAUUGUUGGACUAACUGGACUGCAGCCCGUAGGUCAUUCUAAUAAGUCCCCUUUCUCUUCAUAUCUAUGCAUUCUCUAGGGAACUGUGGCUAACAUGGGAACCUUGACUCAGGCCAGGAUGGUGGCUGAGCUAUUCUGCAGGAGGGUGAGGAGGAACAGAGGAACAGGGAAAGAGACUAAGCCACUCUCAAGCGUGCAGGCCUGGGCUUCUCUAAGAGAGGAAGUAAGACAUACCCAAACAUCGGUCCUGGCAUGCCUAAUUUCUGGCUCCUGAGAGGCAAGUGUUUGUCUCAUCACUCAGCAUUUUGGUUCUCAAGUUAUACCACAAAAGGUUUCUAAACUCCCCCCCACACACCCACCCCAUUUUCCUUCUUCUUCUCCCCCCUUUUAAAUUUAAAUUAGAAACAAGCUUUUACAUGUCAAUCUCGGUUCCCUCUCCCUCCCACCGGCCCCUGCUGUGCCACCAACCCCCUAUCCCAUCCCAUUUCUGCGCCCCAGGGAGGGCGAGGCCUUCCAUGGGGGAUCUUCAAAGUCUGCCAUAUCAUUUGGAGCAGGGCCUGGGCCCUCCCCGGUGUGUCUAGGCUGAGAGAGUAUCCUGUGGAGUGGGCUCCCAAAGUCCAUUCACGUACUAGGGAUAAAUACUGAUCCACUACCAGAGACCCCAUAGAUAAAUCUGACCUCCAAAUUUACACUCACCCUCAGAGGGUCUGGAACCCCUUUUCCUUCUUUAGAGAUCUGUUUUUCAGACAGUGUUUCUCUGUGCAGCCCUGGCUGUCCGGGAACUCGCUGUUUAGACCAGGCUGGCCUGGAACUCACAGAGAUGCGCCUGCCUCUGCCUCCCGAGUGCUGGGACUAAAGUGUGAUCACUGGGCAAGAUUCGUUUAUUUUUACGUGCGAGUGUUUUGUGUGUGUGUGUACUCUCCGUGUGCAUGCGGUACCCACAGAGGACAGAAGACGGCAUCAGCUCCCCCACAACUGGGGACUCACUGAGCCAUCUCUCCAGUUCACACCUUCUCCUGUUGGUGAGUGAGGUUUUAGCGUGGGAGGAGAAAAAGCAGAGCGCAAUAGUGUUGAACAGGGGUGUAGUAUGCGUUCUUUCUCCGUAGAAGGGGCUUCUGGAAAUUGGAGAGUCUUUGGAAAUUGCAGGUUUGUAUCAGGGAACAGAGAGAGGACAUUAACGGCCGGCAAUGGUGCUGGGCAUCUGGCUUAGGUGGCUGGACUGAGGACUCAGCGGGGUUUCUGGGUUGAGAAGGGUGUGAGCCUGCGGGGCAAAUGUGGAGUCAGCUGUGGCGCAGGGGGCACGAGCAGACGCCUGCGUGGAAGACAGACGCUGAGGGAAACUUGAGGCAGGACCAGCCCGAGCAGAAGGCUGGACUGUGGGGAAUGAUGAGUAGGACCUGGCAGGAGAGGCACAGGCAGGGAUUAGCAGAGAGGGCGCCUCUGAGGAGAGGAGGAGGGCGCAGGAGGGGUCGGGUGGCUGCAGGGAAACGAGGGGAGAAAAGGACUUCAGCUCAGGGAGAGACAGGCGCGGAAAGACCUGCGUAGAGAAGGCAGUGAGGGAAGGGAGGGGCGGGCAGGGGAUGCGAAGGUGUUUAGGAGAAGGGAUGGAACCGCAGUGGGAGGGAACUGGGGGGACCUAGAGAGUGGGCGGGCGGGGCGGGGCGGGGCGGGGACUACCCAGAAGGUAGAAGGGGGGGGGCGGUGCGGAGGGGGCGCGGGUGGGCGUGAAUGGGAAAUGAGCAGAAGGCAAUGGCGGGGAGUGUGUGUGUGUGUGUGUGUGUGUGUGUGUGUUGUGCGUGUGUGGUGAGUGUCAAUACGUGUGUAUGUGUACGUGCUUGUGGCGUGUGGAUGCGCGUGCGUGUGUGCGCGCAAGUGCAUGUGCACGUGUGUGGUGUCUGUGCGCGUGUGUGCACGUGUGUGGUGUGUGUGUGUGGUGUCUGUGCGUGUGUGCACGUGUGUGGUGUGCGCGCUUGCGCACGCGUCUCUGUGUGCACGUGUGUGUGCACGUGUGUGUGCACAUGUGUGUGAGUGUGUCUGUGUGCGUGUACGAUGUAUGGAGGUCACAGGACUUGGGAGGGUCCUGGCCUCAGGUUUGGCUGAAGGCAGCGUUGCACAUGAGCCACCAGCCAACUGCUUCCUCUCUUUCUGAGGCAGGACAGGAGGACAGCAAUCAAGAGGACAUGAGAAACGGAGAGGACCCCUCACAGCCCCCUGUUGGGUUAUGUCUCUUGCUGGAGAUAAGAACUUUCAAAUUUUUAUUUUAAUUUAUUAUUAUUAGUAGUAGUGAGGUAGAAUUUCACCAUGUAUAUCUGGCUGGCCUGGAACUGCUGUGUAGACCAGGCUGACCUCAGACUCACAGGGCUAUGCCUGAAAGGUUCAGGCAUUAUGCUGGCCUGCCCCUAUUACCUGGUGGAACAGGCAGUACCCUGGUCAGCCCAAGGUUCCAUGGGAACUAAGUCUGCGCGCAGGUGCAGAGGACCCCUUUAAAAGACAGGUCCCUGCCCAUUUACGCUCUCUGUUUCCUCUCUCUGUUCCCCCGCUCUGCUUUGUCUCUGCUUUCUCUCUACUCUGUCUCCCACCUAUGCUCUCUCUCUGUCUCUCUAUGGCAACCGGCCAUGGUGGUCAGCCAUUAUCCUGUUCUUCUUCUCUUAGUCUCCAUACUCUGCCGGGCCUAUAAUAAACUUAUAGUCAAUAUGUGUCAUGCCUCAGCAUUUCUAUUCUUUUUAAACAAAAGAUAACAUUUUGGCGCCCAACGUGGGGCUCGAACCCACGACCCUGGGAUUAAGAGUCCCAAGCUCUACCGACUGAUUUCUGACUCUCUUAUCUCUAAACUCUUUCCAGACCACUUAAACUACUUUUGGACACAUUUUAAAAUUGACUCUUAAAAAAAUGAUUGUGCUUACAUGGCCACCAUUUCUGUCAUAAACUGCUUGGUUGCGGGAGGUCUGACUUUAUUUCCUAUGUAUUUUUUUUUUUUUUUGGUGGAUCAUAAAGCAUUUGCAGCCAUCAAGGUCAUAAGGUCAACUGGGUGAGCUAGAGAUAGAACACUGUCAAAAGAACUAAUUAGGUAUUUAGUAAAGACAUUUUAUUUCUGAGAACACUGUCUUUCUUCGUUGGAGUAGAUAUACGUAUUGGCUUACAGAAAAAAUUUGGAAGAUGUAGUUUGUGUCAGGGAAGUCUAAUAACGGCAAACUUCUGAAUAGCAGAAAACGAAGAUGUAUAGAGGAAAUGGAUUUUGUAACUGUGUUCCACCGGGGUGAGGGCAGGGACACAGCUUGAUCCUGAAGAUCACAGUGGAAGCCCCUAUGGCCCACGUGGAGCCGGAGGUGCCCCUGGCUGAUAGCAAGGAGGCAGAACAACACACCUUUCUUGUGGUUCUAGUCGGCAUUUCUUAGGCCUUGUCCUCUGUGAAUCCUGUUUCUUCAGUAUGCCGUCCUCAUUCUUCCUGAGGGAUUCCCGAUUUCUGCAAACUGGUGGCUCACAACAAUGGGCUUUAGAUGAAAUUUCAUUAUCGGGUCCUGUGGCAAACCUUACUUGAGAUUCCAGUCUUCUUGGAAUUCCUGUCUGGGAAUCGCGUCUCUUUAGAACGCCACCUGAACACUUUCUUUCUCUUUCACGGGGCUCGCACUCUAGCAGUACAGAUCUGUUCCUGGUGGGGGAGUCGCACCUCGUUGGAGUCCCACACUCACUCUUCAGAUGGCAUCUGCUCUUCUUCAAAGAAUCCCUGCAUACUAGUGGCUUUUUGGGAAGUUUUCUAUCCGUGCAACCUGGGAAUAGAACUGAGUAUACAGCAAAAGUGUGUGAUUCAGCUCUGCCCAGCACCCACUUUUUUGACCAUAAUAUGAAACAGUCCAAUCUUCACAACAGCCAGGUGUGGAGGUACUCUAUGACGCCAGGCUGAGUUGCAGGCAGCUGGGAGCUGCCUCUUCAUGGGAGCUGAGAACUGACCUCAAGCCUUCUGAAACUGGCUUCCUGUUCAUCCCCUGCCCACAGAGAAGACCACUCUGUCCCACUGAGCUAAGAUCCACAUUCAGCUUGGUGAUGAUGUCAGUCCUCCCUGGGGUGAUACCAGUCCUCCCUGGGUCUAAGGAAAUAAAUUUCCUGCCUUCCCUUACUCUUCUGCAAGUCACUUUAAAACCCCAUUCUCCUAAUGAUAGUGAUCACAAUUAUCAUCACGUCUUGACAGCAUGUUUUGUCAGCCCUAGAGUUUUUCUUUUUUUCUUUACUUUCUUUCUUUCUUUUUUUUUUGGGGGGGGUGUGGGUUUCAAGACAGUGUUUCUCUGUAUUGCUUUGGAGGUUGUCCUGGAACUAGCUCUGUAGACCAGGCUGGCCUCCAACACUCAGAGAUCUGCCUGCCUCUGCCUCCUGAGUGCUGGGAUUAAAGGCAUGUGCCCCCAACGUCCGGCUCUGAGAGUAUUUUUCAUCUUAAGUGAGAACAAUCAGUUUGUCAGAGCACAGCACAGAGCAAGCCGG
rnacentral:lncRNA from 1 species